GAUGAAGAACGUAGCGAAAUGCGAUAAGUAAUGUGAAUUGCAGAAUUCAGUGAAUCAUCGAAUCUUUGAACGCACAUUGCGCCCCUUGGUAUACCGAGGGGCAUGCCUGUUCGAGCGUCAUUAUAACCCCUCAAGCUCAGCUUGGUGUUGGGGCCUGCUGCACUGGCAGCCCUUAAAAUCAGUGGCGGCGCCAUCUGGCUCUAAGCGUAGUAAUUCUUCUCGCUAUGGAGUCCUGGUGGAUGCUUGCCAUCAACCCCCAAUUUUUCUAUGGUUGACCUCGGAUCAGGUAGGGAUACCCGCUGAACUUAAGCAUAUCAAUAAGCGGAGGA
rnacentral:misc_RNA from 1 species